rnacentral:rRNA from 1 species
CGUUCCCGGGCCUUGUACACACCGCCCGUCACACCAUGGGAGUUGGUUUUACCCGAAGCCGGUCACGCUAACCCGAGAGGGGGCAGCCGACCACGGUAAGGUCAGCGACUGGGGUG